GACGAACGCUGGCGGCGUGCUUAACACAUGCAAGUCGAACGGAAAGGCCCUGCUUGCAGGGUGCUCGAGUGGCGAACGGGUGAGUAACACGUGGGUGAUCUGCCCCUUACUUUGGGAUAAGCCUGGGAAACUGGGUCUAAUACUGGAUAGGACCAUGCUGUAGGUGGUGUGGUGGAAAGAUUAGUUUCGGUAAGGGAUGAGCUCGCGGCCUAUCAGCUUGUGGGUGGGGUAAUGGCCUACCAAGGCGUCGACGGGUAGCCGGCCUGAGAGGGUGGACGGCCACAUUGGGACUGAGAUACGGCCCAGACUCCUACGGGAGGCAGCAGUGGGGAAUAUUGCACAAUGGGCGCAAGCCUGAUGCAGCGACGCCGCGUGGGGGAUGACGGCCUUCGGGUUGUAAACUCCUUUCAGCCAUGACGAAGCCCUUGUGGUGACGGUAGUGGUAGAAGAAGCACCGGCUAACUACGUG
rnacentral:rRNA from 1 species